UACGUAGGGUGCGAGCGUUGUCCGGAAUUACUGGGCGUAAAGAGCUCGUAGGUGGUUUGUCGCGUUGUUCGUGAAAUCUCACGGCUUAACUGUGAGCGUGCGGGCGAUACGGGCAGACUGGAGUACUGCAGGGGAGACUGGAAUUCCUGGUGUAGCGGUGGAAUGCGCAGAUAUCAGGAGGAACACCGGUGGCGAAGGCGGUUCUCUGGGCAUGAUCUGACGCUGAGGAGCGAAAGUGUGGGGAGCGAACAGG
rnacentral:rRNA from 1 species